UACGGGGGGGGCAAGCGUUGUUCGGAAUUACUGGGCGUAAAGGGCCAGUAGGCGGCCAACUAAGUCCGACGUGAAAUCCCAAGGCUUAACCUUGGAACUGCGUCGGAUACUGGAUGGCUUGAAUUCGGGAGAGGGAUGCAGAAUUCCAGGUGUAGCGGUGAAAUGCGUAGAUAUCUGGAGGAACACCGGUGGCGAAGGCGGCUCACUGGACCACAACUGACGCUGAUGCACGAAAGCUAGGGGAGCAAACAGG
rnacentral:rRNA from 1 species